UAGGGAAUCUUCGGCAAUGGACGAAAGUCUGACCGAGCAACGCCGCGUGAGUGAAGAAGGUUUUCGGAUCGUAAAACUCUGUUGUUAGAGAAGAACAAGGACGUUAGUAACUGAACGUCCCCUGACGGUAUCUAACCAGAAAGCCACGGCUAACUACGUGCCAGCAGCCGCGGUAAUACGUAGGUGGCAAGCGUUGUCCGGAUUUAUUGGGCGUAAAGCGAGCGCAGGCGGUUUCUUAAGUCUGAUGUGAAAGCCCCCGGCUCAACCGGGGAGGGUCAUUGGAAACUGGGGGACUGGAGUGCAGAAGAGGAGAGUGGAAUUCCAUGUGUAGCGGUGAAAUGCGUAGAUAUAUGGAAGAACACCAGUGGCGAAGGCGGCUCUCUGGUCUGAAACUGACGCUGAGGGUCGAAAGCGUGGGGAGCAAACAGG
rnacentral:rRNA from 1 species